rnacentral:rRNA from 1 species
UACGUAGGCAGCAAGCGUUGUUCGGAAUUAUUGGGCGUAAAGAGCGUGUAGGCGGCCAUACAGGUCAGCUGUGAAAACUCGAGGCUCAACCUCGAGACGUCGGUUGAAACCGUUUGGCUAGAGUCCGGAAGAGGAGAGUGGAAUUCCCGGUGUAGCGGUGAAAUGCGCAGAUAUCGGGAAGAACACCCGUGGCGAAGGCGGCUCUCUGGGACGGUACUGACGCUGAGACGCGAAAGCGUGGGGAGCGAACAGG